rnacentral:lncRNA from 1 species
CCAUACCCAAAAGUUUCAUCAAUACUUCUGCAAUGCCCCUUCUAGAAAUAGAAGUAGAACUACAUUAAGUAAAAAAAAAAACAAUUUCAAAUGCAAAAUUUAGGAAGGCAAUGUAUUCACCCUACUGGAAUUUAUGGCAUAUGGUGAAGAUUGAUUAACUGCAUUAUUUUAAUACCGGUAUGUUCAUUGGCAACAACAAACAUGUCAUACCUAUCUACAACAUUUGUUUUGAAAGUAAAAUACUUAUGCAUGCGAACAUUGAAAUUAAAGCAGAUGAAGGAGCUUUUGAAGCUAUGUAAUUCCCUUCAUACAUAGUGGCUCUGCAAAAACAAAAUCGACCUUGGUCCCAUGUAUCAUAUUCUUUCAUUUCAAUCUCCACCUUGAACUUUUGAAACAAGGAAAAAGAAAAUUAGGAAUGAAGCGUAGAAGACAGAGUCCAAAAAUAAACCCCACAUAAUAAAAGUUAUAUGUAACAAAUUGAAUGCAAAAAUCUGAAGCGUUGACAGAAAAGGGAGAGAAAGAGAAAUCUAACCAAGGAAAUGACCAAACAGAUUCGGAGGGUAUGAAAAUAUGAAGGGAAGCAAUAAUGUGUUUAUAAGAUUCAUG